rnacentral:lncRNA from 1 species
AUUGUUCUUAUGAACAUCCUGAUUGUGGAGGUGUGUAAACCCAAAACAAAUCAUCAACUUUUUUUUGUUGACUGGUGUGUCAUAUCCAGAACAAGAGAGUGGUGAAUCUGAGGCGAUUAUGCAGCCUCAGUGUGACCUAAGAAUCCAUCUAUCUAUCCAAAAACUGUCAUUCAACUAUCCAUCCCAAAAUCGACCCUCUAUCAUCUGUCCUUGUUCGAUUCAACCAAAACCAGAGUGGAAUAUCUUAUGGAAGGUUUCAUCAAGUAGUAUCAAAGCACCAUUUUGAAGAUCGG